GAGUUUGAUCCUGGCUCAGGAUGAACGCUGGCGGCGUGCUUAACACAUGCAAGUCGAACGGAGUGCUCAUGACAGAGGAUUCGUCCAAUGGAUUGAGUUACUUAGUGGCGGACGGGUGAGUAACGCGUGAGUAACCUGCCCUGGAGUGGGGGACAACAGUUGGAAACGACUGCUAAUACCGCAUAAGCCCACGAUCCGGCAUCGGAUUGAGGGAAAAGGAUUUAUUCGCUUCAGGAUGGACUCGCGUCCAAUUAGCUAGUUGGUGAGGUAACGGCCCACCAAGGCGACGAUUGGUAGCCGGACUGAGAGGUUGAACGGCCACAUUGGGACUGAGACACGGCCCAGACUCCUACGGGAGGCAGCAGUGGGGGAUAUUGCACAAUGGGGGAAACCCUGAUGCAGCGACGCCGCGUGGAGGAAGAAGGUUUUCGGAUUGUAAACUCCUGUCGUUAGGGACGAUAAUGACGGUACCUAACAAGAAAGCACCGGCUAACUACGUGCCAGCCGCCGCGGUAAUAC
rnacentral:rRNA from 1 species